rnacentral:tRNA from 1 species
UGGACAAGUAGUUUAACCAUAAAACAUAACGCUGAAAAUGUUAAAAUGACAUCCGUCCUUUUCCAA